UUUGCUCGCGCGUGAACGCUUCAAAUCAGUGAAUCACAGUAUUUUCCGCAAACUCAAAAGGUCCAGAAAUUCAAUUGCCGCCGCGGUUUCAUUGUGCCUUCCUCUCUAAUCCUCCCCCUCAAAGCAUAGUCCCUCUCUGUUCGUUGCUAACCUUAAUUCACUGUCGGUCUCUGACAGAAAUUUUAUUAAAAAUUCUGGAAUCUUGAGCUCUUUUUUUUUGGUUUCCCAGAAAUCGUGAGAAAAUAUGGAAGCAAACGGUGCAUUGGUAAAGAGUAAUAGCCGCGUUUCCCUCCGCUUCGUCAGAGCUUUGAUCUCUUGCUUGUCUCGAUUGGUACUGCAGCUUCCCUGGUAAGAUCGCGGAGAGUUUCCAUAUUGUGAAAUUAUCCUUCAUGCACUGUUUCCGAUGAAUGCAGAUCCAGCCUUAAAAAGGAACAUGGAUCCUGGGGUUUUUGAAAUUGCAACGCAAGGAAAGGUCUCAGUGAACGCAUCAUUUUGAUUGUUGGUUCCUGCUUCCAGAAUUCUACACUACAGCAGGUGAAACUGAUAUACCAGGCAUUGGAUUAUCCUAGCGAGUACAUCUUUUUCAAUGAUUUACAAAUGACUGUCAGCCCGCUUAGAAAGGGAAAUGAAUCCUUACAGGCUCUCUGUGCGUGAUAUGUGCCAGGCCCAUAACUGUACAUAGUGGGUGUCUAUCUUAAUAAAUAGGGCCCAAUAUUGUAAACUGUAAAUUUUAAUGUGGCUUUGGGCCAUAGACCUCAACUACAAGACUUGCGGAGCAGUGUCCAAAUUGGCAGACUCAAAUGUUUUGGUUGCCUCUUGGACCAAAUAUUCUUGUUUAGUGUCCAGAUUUCUCUAACGACGAAAUAACACCCAGUCCCAGCUGCUUCUUGCCUCCUUGCAAGCAGCAGUCUAUUUUGGUUACUCAAUUGAGAUUAUUUUUGAAAUGAAGUUCAAUCAUCGCAUUUGAUGGGCCCAACUCUAUUGGAUUUUUGUGUGUCAAUGCACGUGGAAUUUCAUGUUUGCAUGACGUGGGAAAAGAGAGAAUUUUUGGACUACUUCGUGGAUAAUUUGGACUACCGACCAUCUUAUUUGUGAUUUUAUAUGCCAAAUACAUAAUUCAAGUUUCAUAUCAAGAACAAAUUGAGCAAGAUACACCGUCAUUUUCAAGGAAAUCUUUUGCUGGUUCUGGAGGUUUCUACGGUCAGAUCCCUACACCAGAAAUCACGGGGAGUAAGAUUUGUCCACAACUCCACAUCAUCUUAGGGCAUCUCCAACAGAGCAUGAAAAUGGAUAUGCAAAAUCACAACCGUUGAUAUGCAUAUCCAUUUUCGUGAAUUUGUGAAGCCAACAAAGAUUGCAAAGAGGGUCGUAAAUUUGCGACCUCAUUUUGGGUUCCCAAAUUUAUGAACCGGAAGAGGAGAGAGACGGAGUCCGUAAAUAGACGUGGGAGAGACAAAUUGUUGUUCAACGGCUAUGCGCGUACAACUGCUCAAGGAAAGAAGAGAGAUAUAAAGUUGCUUGCUCAAUGGCUGUGCACAGGGAAAGAUGGGAGUCAUAAAAUGAUCAGAGAGCUUGUUGCAGAUGCCCUUAUACCGCAUGAAGUGUCAUUUACUAAUCCGGCCGUCCACGUGGCUUGAUCACUGAUAUCGGGGUGCUUGUUUGGGGGUUGUCCAUUGUAUCAUGGGUCCAUUUCAUGUCAACGUGGGUAGUGAAUAAAGGUCGUCUCGAUAAGCGACGUAGGUGGGAUCCACGACCAUACUUUUUCUCAAUCAGCGCUUGUAUUUGGACGUAGUCAAAGUUAGGUGUGGACCUCAUAAACACCAUCGAUAGGUCAACUCAUCUCACUUACUUUUGAGUAAUUAUAGUUGAAUGUGAGACGAGAGAUUGAUAAAAUAAUCAUCAAAUGUAUCACUUAAUAAGGGCGAAUUCGACAUGCAGGCUUGCACAAAAACAUUAAAAAGUA